AGUGAACGCUGGCGGUAGGCCUAACACAUGCAAGUCGAACGGCAGCACAGUAAGAGCUUGCUCUUACGGGUGGCGAGUGGCGGACGGGUGAGGAAUACAUCGGAAUCUACUUUUUCGUGGGGGAUAACGUAGGGAAACUUACGCUAAUACCGCAUACGACCUACGGGUGAAAGCAGGGGAUCUUCGGACCUUGCGCGAGUGAAUGAGCCGAUGUCGGAUUAGCUAGUUGGCGGGGUAAAGGCCCACCAAGGCGACGAUCCGUAGCCGGUCUGAGAGGAUGAUCAGCCACACUGGAACUGAGACACGGUCCAGACUCCUACGGGAGGCAGCAGUGGGGAAUAUUGGACAAUGGGCGCAAGCCUGAUCCAGCCAUACCGCGUGGGUGAAGAAGGCCUUCGGGUUGUAAAGCCCUUUUGUUGGGAAAGAAAAGCAGCAGGUUAAUACCCCGCUGUUCUGACGGUACCCAAAGAAUAAGCACCGGCUAACUUCGUG
rnacentral:rRNA from 1 species